GUGCCUAAUACAUGCAAGUCGAGCUGAGUUAUUCCUUCGGGGAUAGCUUAGCGGCGGACGGGUGAGUAACACGUAGGCAACCUGCCUGCAAGACCGGGAUAACAUUCGGAAACGAAUGCUAAUACCGGAUACGCAGUAUCCUCGCAUGGGGAGACUGGGAAAGACGGCGCAAGCUGUCACUUGCAGAUGGGCCUGCGGUGCAUUAGCUAGUUGGUGGGGUAACGGCUCACCAAGGCGACGAUGCAUAGCCGACCUGAGAGGGUGAUCGGCCACACUGGGACUGAGACACGGCCCAGACUCCUACGGGAGGCAGCAGUAGGGAAUCUUCCGCAAUGGACGAAAGUCUGACGGAGCAACGCCGCGUGAGUGAUGAAGGUUUUCGGAUCGUAAAGCUCUGUUGCCAGGGAAGAACAGCCAGGCGAGUAACUGCGCUUGGAAUGACGGUACCUGAGAAGAAAGCCCCGGCUAACUACGUGCCAGCAGCCGCGGUAAUACGUAGGGGGCAAGCGUUGUCCGGAAUAUUGGGCGUAAAGCGCGCGCAGGCGGCUUUGUAAGUUUGGUGU
rnacentral:rRNA from 1 species